rnacentral:lncRNA from 1 species
GUCGGGCGGGCGCGGGACCAGCCGCUGAAGCAAGACUGGGCACGUCCACCCUACGAGUGAGGAGACACUCAGCCACGGCUCUGCUAGAACUUGGACCCACGUCUCCUGACUCCUAAGCGCAGGGCUCCUGCUUUCCGAUGCAGCCACUCCCGGAGCACUUGUUCUGAACAAUUCGUACAUUCUGUAAAUUCAGCAUUCCAGCUCUAGCCUUUACCGUCGGGCAGACGGCUGUCGGAAAGGCGCUUGGCCGCUCGGAGCGCUCCAGUGAGAGAAUUACGCCUGUGGGAGUCGGCACGCAGGCGUGCACAGCAGCCGAGGAGAAACAGGAGGGAUCGUGAGGGCGUGUCACGAGGCGGGGCAGGGGCCAGGGUUGCAGCAAGUGUAGAGGUGGAGUCCGGGAGCAGCUGCUGCUCGCUGCCAGCCUGCUGUCCACCUGGUCUCCUGUUGCUCAACAAAUGCGGGAAAUCCAGCCUGUGGGCCUGCGUGGGACUCUAGCUGCGCGCACUAUCUGUGAAAAGCCGUCCUGCGCACCUUGCUCGGGCCAGGUCCUCACUGAGCUCCUCUCGCUCUCCCCCGGGACUAUGUCUUCCCUUCUGCUGGCCCCUGCUUGCCCUCUUCUCAUUACCCCCACAGCAUGAUCCAGCAAGAUUGGCCCUGGCACCAAAAGAUGUGGACUUCAGCUGUGUAGUUUACUGGGUAAAUUGGGGGUGCCGGCGACUGAGGCCUUGGCUGUCAAAGAUGAGGCUGACGGAGAGGUAGGACACCACCUCCUAGAAUACAGAUGGAUGCCUUGUCUUCCCCAGGCUCUUCUGAGACCCGACUCAGCUUAGUGAGUUGGUUGAAUGGAGCAAAAAGUCAUACUUUCCAUCAACUAGAGAUUGGUGAGGUCAGAUGAGGAGGAAGAAUCCUCUUCUCGCCGUGGGUUGCACCUCUGACUUCCAUUACAAGUUACAGUGGAAAGUCGUUGGUUGGAAACAACAUGUGGAAACUGACAGCGCAGCAAACCACUCCCAGGCAGAAAGCACACCUGAGGGGCCCGUGCCUGGAGAAUGCUCUCUCGCUGGCCACGUAGCUGAGUGAGCGAAGGUCUGUGGGUUUUCUGUGUGUUAUUUCCUGACCCAGUGAUGUGCAGUCCGUUUUUACCCCCUCUCUGCCUGUGUGCUGACCAUCACGGGAGGAGAGGCAGGGGCACUGAGGGGCCAGGGAGCAUCUCCCAACCUGAUGCAAAUUUAAGACCCUCUUUUCCAGCAGAGCCUGUGUGUAUGUAUCUAGCAGCUGGGAUUAAAAAAAAACCCUCAAGUUUCUUUUGUUCUACCUUGUUUCUCAUUAUUGUUAACUACUUCAUGUAAGUUCAGCACCAGUACUUUGGUUUGUUAGUUUUUUCAGUACUGAGAAUUGAACCCAGGAUCUUGGCAUUGAGCUACAUCUCCAGCAUCUCCCCUUGGUUAAUUUUUUUUGGUUAAUUUUUAUUUUGAAAUGGGGUCUUGUUAAGUUGCUAAAUUGCCCAAACUGGGCUGGAACUUGCAAUCCUUCUGCCUCCUCCACUCAGAGUGCUGUGAUUUGAUUGUAGGUGUGUGCCGUCACACCUGGCCACACCACAUUUACAAGCAGACCUGCACUGUACCUAUGACAUGCUUUUUGUAUUUGUUGCAGGGAUUGCCUGCUUAAUCCAUACAUCCACCCCUUCCCAUGUCUGCUCAUGGUUUGGUUGUCUCAUAGGUUUUCGGCUAAAGAAAUUAGACUUCUGUCGUCCUAAAUUUAGGCCUGAUGUCUUCAUUAUACACAUGACAUUUUUUUCUUGAGAAUAGUACUUAUUCUGUGGGGAGAGAUUUGGAACAAUGCUCGUGUGACCCUGCUUAGUCACGUCAACCAUGUCAUACACAACAGGGCAGAAGCACUGAGGAAAAAGAUAUAGCUCAAGAAGGGCCCACCCUGGGAGAGACUGACAAAGUGCACGUGUCUUUGCUCUGAUCUUCCCUCUGUGUUCACGACCUGCAGUCAUCCUCAGGAGCCUCAUGCUAACUUUUUGGGCAAAUAAUAGGCUCUAACUGGGGCUGUGUCCUUUAUACAGCUCCCCUGAUCCCAUACAUUUCCCCCCUUUUAAAACAACUUUAGAAUUAUAAUUUUAACACCAUAAAAUUCACCCAAUCGAUGAAUUUUUAGUAGAUAUAAUUUGUUUUAUGGGGGGGGAAGACAGCUACACUUGUGUUUGUGUGGGGAAGAAAGUCAUGGUCAUGUUUGUUACCCAGGUGGAGUUUGCAAAGGGAAGCAAAAUUUUCCAGAACGCUUUUGUUUUCAAACUGAAUUGUUUGCAAACCGAAGUGUUCCUGAACUGAACUGUUACUGCACAAUUGUGUAACCAUAACUGCAGUGGAAUUAGACCAAAUCCAUCACUGUGUAUGACUAUUUGUGGUCAAUCCUGACUGCCAGCCCCGGCCUCUGGGUACAGCACAGAGAUGAGCAGAAAAGGGGCAGAUAAAGCCAUGUGGCCUUCUACACACAGA